GAAUUUCCUCUGUUCAGGAGACUGACUCAAAGUUGGCUGGUCAUAGCCAGUGUACUGUGCACAAAUUUUCUACAGUCCAAAGAAGAUCUACCAUUCAUGAAAUCCUAUCAGCUGAUGAACAAAGUAAAGGUGCAGAUCAAUCCUAAGAGGAAAAGAUCAAACUUGACAGAGAACAACUUUGGAACCCACUCAGCUCUUAAGGUACACAACCGCAAAAGAUAAACAAUUCAGUAUGUAGGAUACCAGGCACUUGAAGUCCUUGCUGAUUCUAUGGAGCAAAAAUGCACCUCAUAGGUAUAAACUGUGCGUUGCUAUUAAAAUUUAGAGUAUUUUAUUGGAAAAUAAAACACUUCAUUCAGAAAAUGGACUGAGGAGGAUCCAGCCUCAGAAAAGCAAAAGACCAAAGAACUAGCCACACAAAGAAAUAAAUGAGGUAGAACAGUCUCCAAAAGAUGACAAACCGAAAGUUUGCCUAAGAUCAAUUGAUGACCCAGAACAAGCUGACAUUUAUGUCAAUAGGAAUCUCAAAAAGUUUAAGUUAGGUGUGAGAAAAAGUGUCACAAUAUCAGAUUGAGAGCUUUGGUUGGUAAAACACUGUUUACAAUGGAUGGAAAUUCAAUUUCAUGGUUCAAGGGGCAUCAGAUUUAAUACUAAUGGUAUGCUACAAGCAACUCUUUAUCAGAGGAGACACCACUUACGAGAAAAUCCAUUCACAAUUCUCAACCAGAAAUUGUUAUUCUUGAAUAAAAAGACAUGGUGUGGCCUCAAUUUAAUUUGAAUGCUGGUAGGGAUUAAACACCGGCCAGUCACAAUUAUAUCAUAUCAUCUCUUAAGCAAGAAGUUUCAGUAAUCAUUGAAGAGCUGACCAUCAAUGAGAAAAUCCAAACUGAUCAAAAUGUUUAAGUAGUAAGUCUACCUACUUCAACACAUAUCCAGGUUGGUUUUGAGAUCAAAAACCCACUGAAACAAAUUGAAGAUGCAUCAUAUAUAAUUCCUUGGAAGACACCCUAAGAAAGAGAUGCAACGUCUAAAGCUUCAAGAUAAGUGAAGAAAAAGAAGUUUGUGCUCUCACAGGGAGGACAAACUCCACAAAAAAAUACAAGAGAUUAAGGUUAUCUAGUUCAGAACAGGGUCCAAGAUGACUGCCUUCUAGCCCACUAAAUAGUUUUCUUCCAAGUCUGAAGAGGACAUGUUUGAGGAUAAUAGUGAAACCACCAGAUUAUCUGAAUUUGUAUUCAGAUAACGUGGCAUUGAUAAAUGUAAUUAUAUUAACAGAUGUAUAACAAUGAUAAUUUCCAGAAAAAAAAACUUGGUGGGAGAUUUUGAAUAUGGGUCUGGGAGGAAUGAAAGGGUGAAUACUCAGUUGAGCACAAAAAGCACUAUUCACUGUCAUGAUGUCAUGAGGACUUGGUGAAACAGUAAAAUGGCAAGGCUGUUAGGUCCGGGAUCCACACUCAGAGAUUAACUCUUCCUCGUCACCUGUUCCCUUCCUUUUGGAUGCUGCUCCUUUAGGAUUUCCUGAAUCCCCAUCAGACUAUGAUAAUUGUCUUCCCACCACCUGCAUUAUUAAGGUCUCCAACUCUGCAUCAAUCAUGAUGGAUUCCUCUGUCUGCACUGGUACUCACUUUGUAAGUUUUUUUUGCAUUCACAAGCAGGCUGUCUAUAGCACAUGGUCUGUAGAAAAUAUUGCCAGGGUCUUCUGCUUGAGGCAGAGCUCACUGGCAGCAUUCUGGAGCAAACAGCAGUGAUGGAGGCACAUGAACAUGUGACAUAAUCAUUCAGAAUACGUGGGCAAACAAAUAUUGUAUUUUUCCCAAUUCAAUCUGACUAGGUCCGGACAGGUUGAGAAUCAUAAACCCCAUGCCUAAAAUAAAGCAAUUUAAUUUGUAGACUUGCAUCUCUAUUUGAUGCUAAUAGCUUGAGAAAAAUACUUUAGAAAAAUAUUAACAUGAAAUGAAUGGUGAACUAUGUUGACAUGAAUUAUGGUGCUGAGACUUAUGCUGAAAGCUCAUGAGAGAUGGACUAUAUUAAAUGAAUCCCUCAGGCUUUGUUAAUAUUAACAUUAAAUCUAUUAUUGUGAAUUAGAUGUACAAGUACAUAAUUAUUGUGCAAACAGCAAACACUAUACUUGGAAAUCUGCAGAGCCACAAGGGCAUUGAAAUUUUGAACAGCUGAGAAAAAUGUUACUGCGAUGUCAUGCAUUUGCAAAAUUCUGGCCUGUUUAAUAGUUUUGAAACAUUACCUCCGCAACUUAAUGCUCCCUCUGCUCUACAUGUGAAAAAACAUGAAGAGUAACUAUUAGCAGACUUUAUAAUGAGGCGUGCAGAGGAUGAAUAACUGUAGGUAAAAGCAGCUGUGAUUUUACAUGUCACAAAAUAAAACAGCAAAGCUAUCCUGGAAA